GAUGAACGCUGGCGGCGUGCCUAAUACAUGCAAGUCGAGCGAACAGACGAGGAGCUUGCUCCUCUGACGUUAGCGGCGGACGGGUGAGUAACACGUGGAUAACCUACCUAUAAGACUGGGAUAACUUCGGGAAACCGGAGCUAAUACCAGAUAAUAUAUUGAACCGCAUGGUUCAAUAGUGAAAGACGGUUUUGCUGUCACUUAUAGAUGGAUCCGCGCCGCAUUAGCUAGUUGGUAAGGUAACGGCUUACCAAGGCAACGAUGCGUAGCCGACCUGAGAGGGUGAUCGGCCACACUGGAACUGAGACACGGUCCAGACUCCUACGGGAGGCAGCAGUAGGGAAUCUUCCGCAAUGGGCGAAAGCCUGACGGAGCAACGCCGCGUGAGUGAUGAAGGUCUUCGGAUCGUAAAACUCUGUUAUUAGGGAAGAACAAAUGUGUAAGUAACGAUGCACGUCUUGACGGUACCUAAUCAGAAAGCCACGGCUAACUACGU
rnacentral:rRNA from 1 species